ensembl:piRNA 21ur-10280 ncRNA
UUCCUCAUCCAUACACGAGGC